GGACUCUCAGGCUCUGCUCUUGCCGGACCAGAGACAUUGAAGAAGGCGUCUGCUAGAAGAGCGAGACCAGUGGAGUUCAACAGAUUUCUCUUAGUGAUUUUAGUGUGUAAAGGAAUUUUAAGAGAUGGGUUUUCGUUGUUAGCUGUUUUGGAGUGAUGGGUCUUCCUUGAACGGUCCUGAAACUUGCAGACAGGAGAGAGAGA
rnacentral:misc_RNA from 1 species